rnacentral:rRNA from 1 species
UACGGAGGGGGCUAGCGUUGUUCGGAAUUACUGGGCGUAAAGGGCGCGUAGGCGGGUUCGCAAGUCUGUGGUGAAAGCCUCCAGCUUAACUGGAGAAGUGCCGUGGAUACUGCGAAUCUUGAGGAGGGUAGGGGCGUCUGGAACGGUCGGUGGAGCGGUGAAAUGCGUUGAUAUCGACCGGAACUCCGGUGGCGAAGGCGAGGCGCUGGACCCUUUCUGACGCUGAGGCGCGAAAGCCAGGGGAGCAAACGGG